CCCCAGGCAUUAGCACUGUGUAUGAAUGGU
rnacentral:piRNA from 1 species